rnacentral:rRNA from 1 species
AUUGAACGCUGGCGGCAUGCCUUACACAUGCAAGUCGAACGGUAACAGGUCUUCGGACGCUGACGAGUGGCGAACGGGUGAGUAAUACAUCGGAACGUGCCCAGUCGUGGGGGAUAACUACUCGAAAGAGUAGCUAAUACCGCAUACGAUCUGAGGAUGAAAGCGGGGGACCUUCGGGCCUCGCGCGAUUGGAGCGGCCGAUGGCAGAUUAGGUAGUUGGUGGGAUAAAAGCUUACCAAGCCGACGAUCUGUAGCUGGUCUGAGAGGACGACCAGCCACACUGGGACUGAGAAGCGGCCCAGACUCCUACGGGAGGCAGCAGUGGGGAAUUUUGGACAAUGGGCGAAAGCCUGAUCCAGCAAUGCCGCGUGCAGGAUGAAGGCCUUCGGGUUGUAAACUGCUUUUGUACGGAACGAAAAAGCUCCUUCUAAUACAGGGGGCCCAUGACGGUACCGUAAGAAUAAGCACCGGCUAACUACGUGCCAGCCGCCGCGGUAA